rnacentral:rRNA from 1 species
GACGAACGCUGGCGGCGUGCUUAACACAUGCAAGUCGAGCGGUAAGGCCCUUCGGGGUACACGAGUGGCGAACGGGUGAGUAACACGUGGGUGAUCUGCCCUGCACUUCGGGAUAAGCCUGGGAAACUGGGUCUAAUACCGGAUAGGACCACUGCCUGCAUGGGGGGUGGUGGAAAGCUUUUGCGGUGUGGGAUGGGCCCGCGGCCUAUCAGCUUGUUGGUGGGGUGAUGGCCUACCAAGGCGACGACGGGUAGCCGGCCUGAGAGGGUGACCGGCCACACUGGGACUGAGAUACGGCCCAGACUCCUACGGGAGGCAGCAGUGGGGAAUAUUGCACAAUGGGCGCAAGCCUGAUGCAGCGACGCCGCGUGAGGGAUGACGGCCUUCGGGUUGUAAACCUCUUUCAGCACCGACGAAGCACAAGUGACGGUAGGUGCAGAAGAAGGACCGGCCAACUACGUGCCAGCCGCCGCGGUAAGAC